CACCGCGGUUAUACGAGAGGCUCAAGUUGACAGACAACGGCGUAAAGAGUGGUUAAGGAAAAUACCUAACUAAAGCGGAACACCCUCACAGCUGUUAUACGCUUCCGAGGGCAUGAACCCCAACUACGAAGGUGGCUUUACAUUACCUGAACCCACGAAAGCUAAGAAA
rnacentral:rRNA from 1 species